AUUGUUGUUCCCGACCUAUGGCUCUCUUCCUGCUGUUUGAUCGGUUUUGGCUUGGGAGGAGGCAAGUCUAGCACUCCAUUUCACUCUAACCCAAUAUCAGGCAGUGUCUUUCAACACCUUCCUGUGAGUAAUGGCUUUUCAACUACGGAUUGCUUCAAUUAUUGAGGCCUUAUAAAAAAGUGUUAUGUAAGCUUGUUCAUAUGGUGAGCACUACAUAUGGAGAAGAAGCAAGCACUGCCUGUCUAGGUGAAGAAAUUGAUGAUUUGAUGCCAGGAGACGACAUUGCAGAGUUGUGUCCCUCACCAGAAAACUUCAAUUCUGACAAGCCAAUCUUUGGAGUUAGUUUAUGUCGUUUUUCCUUUUACGACAAUCAUAUUUUUUCCCAGUCAAAAACAAAGUGGAAUUCGUGCAGCAUAAUUCCAUUUCGUUUUCCUAUUUACGACAAAUUGUAAAUCAAAAUGGAUAUGAAGAAUAUUCGGAUAUAUUCCACUCCAGUUUCUUUUUUUCAA